rnacentral:rRNA from 1 species
GAUGAACGCUAGCGGCAGGCCUAAUACAUGCAAGUCGAGCGGUAACAGAGAAGCUUGCUUCUGCUGACGAGCGGCAAACGGGUGCGUAACACUUAUCUAACUUACCUCUAACAGAAGGAUAGCCCAUGGAAACGUGGAUUAAUACUUCAUAAUACUAGAAUCGCAUGAUUCAAAGUUAAAAGGUCCGCCGGUUAGAGAUAGAGAUGAGUCCUAUUAGCUAGUUGGUAAGGUAACGGCUUACCAAGGCGACGAUAGGUAGGGGGCGUGAGAGCGUGGUCCCCCACACGGGCACUGAGACACGGGCCCGACUCCUACGGGAGGCAGCAGUAAGGAAUAUUGGGCAAUGGAGGCAACUCUGACCCAGCCAUGCCGCGUGCAGGAAGACUGCCCUACGGGUUGUAAACUGCUUUUAUAUGCAAAGAAAAGCGUCUUUUCUAGGACGUCUGACGGUAGCAUAGGAAUAAGGACCGGCUAACUCCGUG